rnacentral:rRNA from 1 species
UAUUGGAGCGGUUAGUGGCGGACUGGUGAGUAACACGUAAGCAACCUGCCUAUCAGAGAGGGACAACAGUUAGAAAUGACUGCUAAUACCACAUAUGCCUAAGUAUCACAUGAUACAAUAGGGAAAGGAGCAAUCCGCUGAUAGAUGGGCUUGCGUCUGAUUAGCUAGUUGGUGGGGUAAAGGCCUACCAAGGCGACGAUCAGUAGCCGGACUGAGAGGUUGAACGGCCACAUUGGGACUGAGAUACGGCCCAGACUCC